AUUGUUUUGCUUCAGAAGACCCCCUGGGUUAUGUAUUGAGUACUUAAAUGAUGAAUUUAUAUACUUUUGAGUUUUGAAAAACAUUGAUCUUGGUCAAUGCCAUUAUAAAGCAAGAAAAACACAGAAAUUAACAUAAGUUUAAUAUAAGCGUGUUUGUCAUUUUAGGACUUUGUUUUUAUUACAUACUGCUGACGCUCUUCGUCUUCUAUGACAUGAUGAGCUAAAGUCUCUCGUUCUCCGUGCUUGUGCAUUCAGCAGACAAAUACCCAGGAUCGCCGCUGCCGUGUCUUUCUCAUAUGCUGCAUGGUGUUUAGGAUGUCUUGAUUUUAAAUGACAAAUGAAACGUGUAGUGCUGUAUGUUUUCAUAUCUUUCUUUGACACUUAAAAAUGCUUACCAACAUGUUUGCUAAAUUUGCGCGUCUCCAACUCUCCACAUGCUGCUAUUUGAUUGCUUCAUCAAAGACCUCAUUGUUCGGUAAAAUGUAUUCUGCCUUUUUACUUGUUCGGUGAACACAGAAAAUUAGUUUUUUGCUAUUUUCAGACAAAUAAUUUCGGUUGCCAAACAUUCGGUGCAUCCCUAAAUAAAACUGAUUGUGUUCGGGUGAAAAAAGUAAAAGAUAAACAUCUUGGAUGACAUGAUGGGGAGUAAAUCAUCAGUAAGUUUUUAUUCGAGUCAUCAGACAGUCAUCUUGUUGCUUUGAUUGAAUUCAAUUACCUGGUGUUAAAUGAACACUGUUCAGUGUCUAUUUGAGUGAACAUUACAACACAAGUGUAUAAAGUGACACUGAAUCAGUGUUAAACAUAAAUAAAAUAAUGAAGUAAUGAAUAAAGUGAUGAUUGAACAUUAAUAAUGAUGCGUGCUGUUAACAAUCAGAAACACUUAAUGAAAAAUAAACAAAAACAGAAAAAAGACCUCAAAGCAACAAGAUGACUUUGUUCAGAUAACUCUACUUUUUUUACAUUUAUUUUAUUUAACGGUGCAGUUUCUCCUGUGUCUUAGACAAAGCAGGCCAUGUUAUUUAAUUUAAUACCAUCUGGAACAAAUCUGGGUCCAUUUAUCAUUUCUACUUACAAAUGAACAUUUCUGUUCUAGGACUGACUGAAGUGUUGUUGCCCACAGGUGAUCCUUAAGCAACAAAAAGGGACCUCUAAGAAGUGGUGUGCAGAUCUUUCAAAGGUGGGGCUGACAUAGAUCGGGACAGGAAACAAAGGCAAUAAAGAGGAACCUCUAAGGUUUAAAGGCGCUGCUUACAGAGAAGAGGGCAGGAAACAAAGGCAGAAGACCUGAAGAGAAUGUCUUAUGAUUUUAAUUUUUUGUUAUGUACAUGCACUUGAUUAUUUAUAUAUUUCUAAGAUGCAUAAAUAUGUGACCUUGUAUAUGAAAUCCAGGCUACGAUGAGAUCAUCAAAGUUUGAAUUUACUGAUUUAACACUGAGUUCAGUCUUUGGCGUGACCUUACUCAGUCAAUAUUAAAAAUGUAAAGAUUAUAUUUUCACAGAAUGUUCUUUGCAUUGUGUAGGAUGAUUUUAUGUAGGAAACAGUAGAUUCAGUAGACUUUGCUGGGUUUUCACAGGCCGGGUCACAUUUAUACAACAUAUGGGAAUUAUUAGCGACUAAAACAUCCUAUAUUUAUUUUAGCUUGUUAAAUGCAGCCACCCUUUGUUUAGAAUUUGGAAUAUACUCUUGUUUUUCAGUAAUUUCUUAAGAUGUCACCCUGGGGUGAUUUAACGAUGUUAAAGAAAUUUCCAUCUAUUAUGGGCUUGAAUUGCUUGUUUGUCCAAGUCAUUCAGUUAA